rnacentral:rRNA from 1 species
UACGAAGGGGGCUAGCGUUGCUCGGAAUUACUGGGCGUAAAGGGCGCGUAGGCGGAUAGUUUAGUCAGAGGUGAAAGCCCAGGGCUCAACCUUGGAAUUGCCUUUGAUACUGGCUAUCUUGAGUUCGGGAGAGGUGAGUGGAAUGCCGAGUGUAGAGGUGAAAUGCGUAGAGAUCGGCAGGAACACCCAGGGGGAAACCAGUCGACUGGGCAUCUACUGACGCUGAGGUGCGAGAGCGUGGGGAGCGAACCGG